rnacentral:rRNA from 1 species
UACGUAGGGCGCAAGCGUUGUCCGGAAUCAUUGGGCGUAAAGAGCGCGUAGGUGGCUGCAUAAGUCCGUUGUGAAAGUCAAAGGCUCAACCUUUGAAAGCCGAUGGAUACUGUGGAGCUAGAGUACGGAAGAGGCGAGUGGAAUUCCUGGUGUAGCGGUGGAAUGCGCAGAUAUCAGGAGGAACACCAAGAGCGAAGGCAGCGCGCUGGGACGUGACUGACACUAAGGCGCGAAAGCGUGGGGAGCGAACAGG